AAUGUGAUAGAAGAAGUGCACGAGAAGCUGACGAUGCUUCUAGACAAGCUUCCAAAGCUAGUUCCCAAGUAUACGAGAACAAGUACUAAAUAGUUAGCUUAUGAAACUUAUGAUAUUUUGAUAUAAGUUGUUCGAAUUUUGUGUCUUCCAUGUUCGAUUGUCACAGAGAAGUAGUCCAAACAUAGAAAGAGACAGCAUUAAGAGAAAAGAAAGGUCUAAAGCCACUUCUCAGUUAAACCUGUUGGUAUUUUACGAGGGUCUUCAUGCAAGUUACUAAAUUGGCUCGGAAAUAGACAAGUUGUUGCAACUGGAGAAAUAGAAUCAACAAAUCCUGAGGUGAAAGUUCAUCACAUGGUGCUUGAUCCUGAUUGAUGGAAAGUUUGGGUAAGAGUGGAGAAUAUAUCUUUGUACCGCCCUACAAGUGAAUUUCGUGUCGUGGAGGAUGCUAUAUCUAGUACAAUUGCCUGGCCAUCAAAGUACGUCUGAGUUGGAGAGUAAUUUUAGUUCGUACUUAGACUAGAAAAUGGUACUUUGGCACUACAUGGAUAGUAUUUUAUGACUUCCGUUGUUUAUGUAUUCAUUAGGCACUACAUGGAUAGUACUUUAUGACUUUUGUUGUUUAUGUAUUCAUUUGGAAACUCAA